GCAGCAGGCCGGUUUGUCGCUUCGGUCCCGAUAUUUGUCGGGAUUCGGGGAGGAAAGUCCGGGCAACGUAGAGCACCAUACUUCCUAACGGGAAGCUGUUCGUGAGGGCAGAGUAGCGUAACAGAAAACAACCGCUUCGUUUUCUCGUGAGAUUACGAUGCAAGGGUGAAAAGGUAAGGUAAGAGCUUACCGGGUGCCGUGGCAACACGGCAUGCCGUACGUCUUAUGGGUUGCAAGACCAUGUAUAUCGGAUAGGUAGGGUUGCUCGCCCGAUGCCGAGGGGUAGGUCGCUUAGAUAAAUGACAAACAUCCCGACUUGUCGGGAUACAGAACCCGGCUUACAGGCCCGCUGCUUUU
rnacentral:RNase_P_RNA from 1 species